rnacentral:rRNA from 1 species
UACAGAGGGGGCAAGCGUUGUUCGGAAUUACUGGGCGUAAAGGGCGCGUAGGCGGCCGACUAAGUCAGACGUGAAAUCCCCUGGCUCAACCAGGGAACUGCGUCUGAUACUGGAUGGCUUGAGUUCGGGAGAGGGAAGUGGAAUUCCAGGUGUAGCGGUGAAAUGCGUAGAUAUCUGGAGGAACACCGGUGGCGAAGGCGGCAUCCUGGACCGGCAUUGACGCUGAGGCGCGAAAGCCAGGGGAGCAAACGGG